rnacentral:rRNA from 1 species
GUGCAGCAGUCGCGAAAACUUUACAAUGUGCGAAAGCACGAUAAGGGAACUCUGAGUGCCUCCUAAGGAGGCUGUUCUGAUGUCUAAAAAGCAACAGAAGUAAGGGCUGGGUAAGACCGGUGCCAGCCGCCGCGGUAACACCGGCAGCCCAAGUGGUAGCCACGUUUAUUGGGUCUAAAGCGUUCGUAGCCGGCCAGGUAAGUUCCUUGGUAAAUUUAGCCGCUUAACGGUUAAGCUUUCAGGGAAUACUGCUUGGCUUGGGACUGGGAGAGGUCAGAGGUACUCCGGGGGUAGGGGUGAAAUCUAUUAAUCCCUGGGGGACCACCGGUAGCGAAGGCGCCUGACCAGACCAGGUCCGACGGUGAGGGACGAAGGCUAGGGGCGCGAACCGGAUUAGAUACCCCUGUAGU